rnacentral:rRNA from 1 species
GUGGGGUGGCAAGCGUUGUCCGGAAUUAUUGGGCGUAAAGCGCGCGCAGGGCGGUCCUUUAAGUCUGAUGUGAAAGCCCACGGCUCAACCGUGGAGGGUCAUUGGAAACUGGGGGACUUGAGUACAGAAGAGGAAAGCGGAAUUCCAAGUGUAGCGGUGAAAUGCGUAGAGAUUUGGAGGAACACCAGUGGCGAAGGCGGCUUUCUGGUCUGUAACUGACGCUGAGGCGCGAAAGCGUGGGGAGCAAACAGGAUUAGAUACCCUGGUAGUCCACGCCGUAAACGAUGAGUGCUAAGUGUUAGGGGGUUUCCGCCCCUUAGUGCUGCAGCUAACGCAUUAAGCACUCCGCCUGGGGAGUACGGCCGCAAGGCUG